AGCGGCGGACGGGUGAGUAACGCGUAGGAAACUGCCGAGUAGUGGGGGAUAGCCCAGAGAAAUUUGGAUUAAUACCGCAUACGCCCUACGGGGGAAAGGAGGGGAUCUUCGGACCUUUCGCUAUUCGAUGUGCCUGCGUGAGAUUAGCUUGUUGGUGUGGUAAAGGCUCACCAAGGCGACGAUCUCUAGCUGGUUUGAGAGGAUGAUCAGCCACACUGGGACUGAGACACGGCCCAGACUCCUACGGGAGGCAGCAGUGGGGAAUAUUGCACAAUGGGGGAAACCCUGAUGCAGCCAUGCCGCGUGUGUGAAGAAGGCCUUCGGGUUGUAAAGCACUUUCAGCAGUGAGGAAAGGUUAUAAGUUAAUACCUUAUAGCUGUGACGUUAACUGCAGAAGAAGGACCGGCUAACUCCGUGCCAGCAGCCGCGGUAAUACGGAGGGUCCGAGCGUUAACCGGAAUUACUGGGCGUAAAGCGCGCGUAGGCGGCUAGGUCAGUCAGAUGUGAAAGCCCCGGGCUUAACCUGGGAAUUGCAUCUGAUACUGCUUGG
rnacentral:rRNA from 1 species